AAGUCGUCCUGAGUUACUAUAUAAUAGAUAAAACUUUCAACAACGGAUCUCUUGGUUCUGGCAUCGAUGAAGAACGCACCGAAAUGCGAUAAAUAAUGUGAAAUGCAGAAUUCAGUGAAUCAUCGAAUCCUUGAAACCACAAUUGCGCACCAUGGUAUUCC
rnacentral:rRNA from 1 species